UUUUCAAGUCCCCUCCCCCACUGCUCACUGCUACCAGGGAGGACUUUAAUCUCCUUACGUGUUGAGGUUUGUUGUCCUCAUCCAGUAAAGAAAGAAUACUUUUCUUUUAUUCUAUAAACUUAGAAAUCCAAGAUCCGGUCAUGGCCUGCAGACUUUAUGAAGGUAAAGCUCAUGCUGCCUCCUACUGGAAAUACAGGAUCUCUCCAUCAGAACAUCUCAUGAAACAAGUGCUGAACUUCUGUGAAGGGCAUAGAGGUGGUCCCUUUGAGCUGGCGGUGGAUGUGGGCUGUGGGUCUGGUCAGGGCACGCUGCUUCUGGCCAAACACUUUGCUUCUGUGGUGGGGACGGACGUGAGCCCUGCUCAGAUAGAAAUGGCUUUACGACAUGCUAAACAGCCAAACGUAACAUACAGACUGUGUGCUGCCGAAGAGCUGCCAUUCGCCGACAGCUCGGCGGACCUGGUGGCGGCCAUGUCUGCCUUCCACUGGUUCGACAGGCCUCGGUUCCUGCUGGAGACCCACAGGGUCCUGAAGCCCCGUGGCUGCUUGGCUCUGGUCAACUACACACUAGACAUGGAGCUGAGCUACUCCGACUGCUGCUCACACACACUGAACCAGAUCUGCAGAGAGUUUUAUGCAGCCCUGCACCCGUACCGAAAUCCCAUACUGGGUCCAAACUCCAUUUAUUUAUACAAGGAGGCAUUUGAGGCCAUCCCGUAUCCCAAUAAGGAAUGGCAGGAGUGUGUGUGGGACAGGACGUCCAUGCCUCUGUCCAGCUACAUGGGGUUAGUGGAGUCCUUCUCCAGUUAUCAGGCUCUGCUCAGAGAUGAUCCACAGAAGGCCCAGAAACUGUCCGAAGACGUCUGUCAGAGGUGAACGACGCUUUGUACGACACUCAAAUACACCUUCUGUGGUGUUUUUGGCCUAAACACAGUCCAGGUUGAUGUCUGUGAUGAAGGUGACCUCUGCAGAGACAGAGGUGACGGUGGCUGUCAAGUAUUUCUACCUUCUGGCCUGCAAACCUGAAGAAGCCUGACCUCUGACUCCUCUCCUGUUUUUCACACAGACAUCCCAUAAAUGCACUUACAUUAUGACUGAACUUAAAUCACGUUAGUUGGAUUAUUUGAUUAAAGUUGCAGAUUACGGCCAUUCUGGCUGUUUUUAUGUUGAACCUAUAGAUUUAAACACUUACAGAACAUUGUUCUCACCAUGACAAGUUUGUCCCUCAACGGACCAGUAAAGGAUGAGUAUUUACACAGAAACCACCAUGUCUACAACAAUAAAUCGGUUUCAUAUCAAACUCUUAAUUUGUUUUAUGCACAAAAACAAAGACUUGAGCUGGGUUUGUUUGAGGUGAAUGACCCUUUUCUGCCAUUAGAGGGAGACAUUUGAUUAAAGAUCCUGUAGAUCAUGGCUGCCACACACAGGUUAAAGAUGUGGAUGACCUGAUUGACCAAAGAGCCUGUCUAUUGCUUGAGGAACAGUUUAAUAAAAAGAUGUUAACAUCUACUUAAUCAA